CUUCCUUCCCUCUGUGGAUCUUUUAGCUUCUGCCCGUCGCUAACUGCUGACUCCCUCCCCGUAUUUCAUAUCCAACUCCCCCAAAGGACCUGACUGGGUUGGCGGCUCACCACCAAGUACAGACUGUUGCAGAACUUUUCUUGGCAAGCCACCACAUCAGCAUAGGCUUAUUGCCCUGGGUUAGAUACCUGCUCCUGGAACAAGUGGUUUUGUUUGGAAUGGCAGAAAGAUGCAAUGCCAGGGCAGUAAGAGUGAGAGAAAAAGGGAAGGGAGACAGAGAAAGACAGGAAGCACUGCAAGAUGAUGUCUGAAAUAUCUGAACUAUGACCUGUGUGUCCAUGCAGAAUCCCUCCAGUUACUAUAUGGUGAAACCAUGCUCAGCUCUUUUCCCUGGCCAGAGACUUCCUGGUCCUUCUUCACACACGCUUCAAGGUCACAGUUUGGACCAAAGUGUUUACCAAAAACCAGGCACUUAUGAGAUGACGAAUCAUUGCCAGUUCCUCCACGGCCUGUGUCUCAGCUCCGACCAAGCUCAGCAAACCGGGGAUAAAGCGGUCUCUAAUACCGGGAAUUUCUAGGUUCGGAUGCCAACAGGCAAAAGGAGGAAUUCUGUAAUCUCCUGCAGGCUGAAGCUGUGGUGGCUGCUGCUGCCAUCUCCUGGGAGCAGAAAGACCUGAGCUUCACACCUGAAGCCAGUCUCUGAAUUCACCUGGGAAGGCACAGAGGCCCCACUGGGCCUGGCUGAAGUUCCUCUGUCCUAAAAAAUAAAGGGGAUAUCCCCUUACUUACAAAUUGCUGGUAUUUGCUUUUCAUCCACUCCUUCUGGCAGCAUUGUGCUCAAAGAAAUGAUUCCAAACAACAGCAAAGUUGAAAUGAGCUAAUACAGCAACCGUGAGGAAAGUUAAGAUGAAGGCAGAACCAGUAGUCUUAGGAAUACAUCACAUAUUUCUCUUGGCCUUUUCAAUCCUGAAUGUAUACAUCUGAGAAUUAUGUAACAGGGCACAUGUG